rnacentral:rRNA from 1 species
CCCAAACCAACAAACCAACACAGCCGCAACCUGAUCGCGUUAUCCACCCCGCCGCACUGACAUUCCCCCGAGCGACAGAAAUGGCCGGCGCAACAAUGGCCACCGCCACCGUCGCGGCCGCGUCGCCGCUCCGCGGCAGGGUCACCGGGCGCCCACACCGCGUCCGCCCGCGUUGCGCUACCGCGAGCAGCGCGACCGAGACUCCGGCGGCGCCCGGCGUGCGGCUGUCCGCGGAAUGCGUCAUUGUGGGCGCCGGCAUCAGCGGCCUCUGCACCGCGCAGGCGCUGGCCACCCGAUACGGCGUCAGCGACCUGCUCGUCACGGAGGCCCGCGACCGCCCGGGCGGCAACAUCACCACCGUCGAGCGUCCCGACGAGGGGUACCUGUGGGAGGAGGGACCCAACAGCUUCCAGCCCUCCGACCCGGUCCUCACCAUGGCCGUGGACAGCGGGCUCAAGGAUGACUUGGUGUUCGGGGACCCCAACGCGCCCCGGUUCGUGCUGUGGGAGGGGAAGCUGAGGCCGGUGCCGUCGAAGCCAGGCGACCUGCCUUUCUUCAGCCUCAUGAGUAUCCCUGGGAAGCUCAGGGCCGGCCUUGGCGCGCUCGGCAUUCGCCCACCUCCUCCAGGGCGCGAGGAGUCGGUGGAGGAGUUUGUGCGCCGCAACCUCGGUGCCGAGGUCUUUGAGCGCCUCAUCGAGCCUUUCUGCUCAGGUGUAUAUGCUGGUGAUCCUUCGAAGCUUAGUAUGAAGGCUGCAUUUGGGAAGGUCUGGAGGUUGGAGGAGAUUGGAGGUAGUAUUAUUGGUGGAACCAUCAAGGCGAUUCAGGAUAAAGGGAAGAACCCCAAACCGCCAAGGGAUCCCCGACUUCCGGCACCAAAGGGACAGACGGUGGCAUCUUUCAGGAAGGGUCUAGCCAUGCUCCCGAAUGCCAUCGCAUCUAGGCUGGGUAGUAAAGUCAAGCUGUCAUGGAAGCUUACGAGCAUUACAAAGGCGGACAACCAAGGAUAUGUAUUAGGUUAUGAAACACCAGAAGGACUUGUUUCAGUGCAGGCUAAAAGUGUUAUCAUGACCAUCCCGUCAUAUGUUGCUAGUGAUAUCUUGCGCCCACUUUCAAUUGAUGCAGCAGAUGCACUCUCAAAAUUCUAUUAUCCGCCAGUUGCUGCUGUAACUGUUUCAUAUCCAAAAGAAGCUAUUAGAAAAGAAUGCUUAAUUGAUGGGGAGCUCCAGGGUUUCGGCCAGUUGCAUCCACGUAGCCAAGGAGUCGAGACUUUAGGGACAAUAUAUAGCUCUUCUCUCUUUCCUAAUCGUGCUCCUGCUGGAAGAGUGUUACUUCUGAACUAUAUCGGGGGUUCUACAAAUACAGGGAUCGUCUCCAAGACUGAGAGUGACUUAGUAGGAGCCGUUGACCGUGACCUCAGAAAAAUGUUGAUAAACCCUAGAGCAGCAGACCCUUUAGCAUUAGGGGUUCGAGUGUGGCCACAAGCAAUACCACAGUUUUUGAUUGGGCACCUUGAUCGCCUUGCUGCUGCAAAAUCUGCACUGGGCCAAGGCGGCUACGACGGGUUGUUCCUAGGAGGAAACUACGUCGCAGGAGUUGCCUUGGGCCGAUGCAUCGAGGGUGCGUACGAGAGUGCCUCACAAGUAUCUGACUUCUUGACCAAGUAUGCCUACAAGUGAUGGAAGUAGUGCAUCUCUUCAUUUUGUUGCAUAUACGAGGUGAGGCUAGGAUCGGUAAAACAUCAUGAGAUUCUGUAGUGUUUCUUUAAUUGAAAAAACAAAUUUUAGUGAUGCAAUAUGUGCUCUUUCCUGUAGUUCGAGCAUGUACAUCGGUAUGGGAUAAAGUAGAAUAAGCUAUUCUGCAAAAGCAGUGAUUUUUUUUGAAGAUUUUGUUGUAUGCUAAGUAUUACUCCCUCUGAAAAGAAAUAGAAGAGCGUUAGAUCACUACUUUUAAUGAUCUAAAUGCUCUUAUAUUUCUUUACGAAGGGAGUAGAUCGCUUCAAUGUGCCGAGCAACAAUUUCCGCGGGAUUUUACAUAGCGCCAUCGAUUUCUUUGAUUAAACUUCGACAAUAAAUU